rnacentral:rRNA from 1 species
UACGAAGGGGGGCUAGCGUUGCUCGGAAUCACUGGGCGUAAAGCGCACGUAGGCGGCUUUCUAAGUCAGGGGUGAAAUCCUGGAGCUCAACUCCAGAACUGCCUUUGAUACUGGAGAGCUUGAGUCCGGAAGAGGUGAGUGGAACUCCGAGUGUAGAGGUGAAAUUCGUAGAUAUUCGGAAGAACACCAGUGGCGAAGGCGGCUCACUGGUCCGGUACUGACGCUGAGGUGCGAAAAGCGUGGGGGAGCAAACAGG